UACGUAGGGUGCGAGCGUUGUCCGGAAUUAUUGGGCGUAAAGAGCUCGUAGGCGGUCUGUCGCGUCUGCUGUGAAAUCCCGAGGCUCAACCUCGGGCUUGCAGUGGGUACGGGCAGGCUAGAGUGCGGUAGGGGAGAAUGGAAUUCCUGGUGUAGCGGUGAAAUGCGCAGAUAUCAGGAGGAACACCGGUGGCGAAGGCGGGUCUCUGGGCUGUAACUGACGCUGAGGAGCGAAAGCGUGGGGAGCGAACAGG
rnacentral:rRNA from 1 species